rnacentral:misc_RNA from 1 species
GUGAAUCAUCAAAUUUUUGAACGCAAAUUGCACUUUCUGGUAUUCCGGAAAGUAUGCCUGUUUGAGGGUCAGUUAAAUAAAAAUCGGUGUUGUUGCUGCCUUUCGUGGUGACGCGUCGGAUUUGAGUCGUCUUACCUUCGGUUAAGUGACUUAAAAUUUUUCCUUGUUUUUCGAACGUAUUUAAAUCCCUUACUAAGGUUUGGAAUA